UACAGAGGUCUCGAGCGUUGUUCGGAUUCAUUGGGCGUAAAGCGCGCGUAGGCGGUUACUCAAGUCGGGUGUGAAAUCCCUGGGCUCAACCCAGGAACUGCACUCGAAACUUCCGGUCUAGAGUGGUGGAGAGGGAAGUGGAAUUCCUGGUGUAGAGGUGAAAUUCGUAGAUAUCAGGAGGAACACCAGUGGCGAAGGCGGCUUCCUGGACACCAACUGACGCUGAGACGCGAAAGCGUGGGGAGCAAACAGG
rnacentral:rRNA from 1 species